UUAGUACUCCCUCCGUCCAAUAAAAGAUGUCUCAAGUUUGCUAAAAUUUGGAUGUAUCUAGACAUGACUUAGUGUAUAGAACUAUAGAUGCAUUCAAAAAGUCAAAGUUGAGACACCCUUUGUUGGACGAAGAGAGUAUAUG
rfam:Brachypodium distachyon strain Bd21 chromosome 2, whole genome shotgun sequence.